UAAUGCGACGAUAUAUAUAUGUAUAUUUUUUUUGAAGUUGUUCAAAGUGCGUCAAACGGGAACGGUUAGUAAAAUAUUUUUUCUCGUGAAAGAAACACAAAAAGUCAUGGCGUUAUAAGGGUUGGAUCAAAAGAAACAUUGAUUGAAACAUUUUAUCGCUAAAAUACAUGGAGUAAGACGGAGGUCCUUUUAUUUGAUUCUAUAGUUGAAAAGGCAAUAUGGAGAAUAUGCAGAAUAUGCUGGCAAUUUUGUUGCUAUAGCAACAAUAAUUACUCCAGCAGGGUUGUAUGCGACUCUAAAAGCCCGGCAAUGGUUUGGUUCAAUGAUAUAUAUAUACUAAUAUUCGGUGCUUAUGUGCAUUUAUAAAGGAAUGGUGCAAUUUAACAAUAAAAUGUGGCCUUAGGUAUUGUUCAAAGACAGUUUCUAGAGGAUAAAAUAAAGGACUCGUGGUAAUUCUAUACAGACCACCAUUAAGAUGAAUGCCAAGACAGCAGUAACAUCGGUCAAAUAAAUAAAAUGUUGAAGAAUUCCAUAGGUGCUGUUUAACAUGUCAUUCUAAUGAUGUAACCAUUUUCAUAGAUCUGAACGAACAUAUACCGGGAAAUGAAUAUUCUAUUCAGAAGGACAUUGCAGGUUGUUGUAAUGCUAAAAAAACUGCUUGUUGGAUUGUCAUCGUUGGACAUUAUUACUGACGUCAAUCUUUUCACGCAUUUGAGACUGAACACUUAAUGUUAUCCAGUAAAAAAAUGUCUUGACACAGAAUUACGUACAAUAAUAAUAUGGAGAAAAAAGGAUGAAAAACGUGUUUCACAUGAUCUAUAAUUUCAGUGUUGCAUUAAUUAUUUCCGAAUUGGAAACAUUCAAGAGGUAACAUUGCAGACUUGAUGUUUUUAUUCUCGUGCCACUUUAUAUAUUCGAAGUUUAAAGGUCCAUUUGAUUUCAAUAUAAUGUUUGUGAUUGAAUUGUGUAUUAAACUUCAAAUAAACUU
rnacentral:lncRNA from 1 species